UAAGAGUUGACGUAUUGAUUGAAUCUUUUUUUAGCUGACAUAUCAUCUGUCUCUCCUGUGUCGUCCAUCUUCUCCUGCGUCGUACUGGAAUCCAUGGUGGAAACUUUUCUGCUCAGCUAAGAACAAGAAGUUGUCAUCCAUCCUUUUCCCACCUGCGUACAGAUGCCACAUGGGCACCUACCUAAGAUCAGUACUCAACGCGAGCUGGUCCAUUAACGAGCCUGACUGGACUCCAGCAAACAAAUAAAAAGAAAGCGCAGACUGAACAGGUUUGCACAACAUUUUGCCACAAGUAUGCCAGUACUGGCCAAAAGCAUUGACACCUACAAUGCUAAUAAUAAAAAAAUAAAAAAUAAAAAUGUUCACCAAAGAUUCACCUUUUGUGAAAAGUUUUAUUCCAAACUGGGUAAUCCACUGUCUCAAAAUACAACAGACACCUGUUGGUAUGAACUGAUGACAAAAGUAAAUGACAUGUUGUAUGAUUAUAGUUUGUCUUAAGAUUUGGGCUUAUAAAGUUGCUUAAUCUGGUUUCCUGUCCUACACUGUGACUAUCCUGUCCCCAAAUAUCACAGUCCUUCACAGUUCAGAGGGUCCUAAACAAAAACGGGGAGCAUAUCUUUAAUAUUUUUGUCUCUAGAGAAAUAUGAACGUUAAAAGUCCCAUCAAACGAGGAGACAAUGAUGAGCUGAAGUCAGCACCUGUCAGCCCUGUUGACCUUCUUUCACCCUGGGGUCAAUCAUCAGCUGAAUUCAUUUCCUCUCAGAGCGGGAGGUGAGUUUGUUAAAUGAAUUUUUAAACGUGCACACCUCAGCAGGCUCAGCGG